rnacentral:rRNA from 1 species
UACGGAGGGUGCAAGCGUUAUUCGGAAUUACUGGGCGUAAAGCGUGCGCAGGCGGCUUGGCAAGUCAGAUGUGAAAUCCCCGGGCUUAACCUGGGAACUGCAUUUGUGACUGCAUGGCUGGAGUGCGGGAGAGGGGGAUGGAAUUCCGGGUGUAGCAGUGAAAUGCGUAGAUAUGCGGAGGAACACCGAUGGCGAAGGCAGUCCCCUGGGCCGGCACUGACGCUGAGGCACGAAAGCGUGGGGAGCAAACAGG